rnacentral:misc_RNA from 1 species
CACGUCAUCCCCACCUUCCUCCGAGUUGACCCCGGCAGUCUCCUAUGAGUCCCCACCAUCACGUGCUGGCAACAUAGAACGAGGGUUGCGCUCGUUGCGGGACUUAACCCAACAUCUCACGACACGAGCUGACGACAACCAUGCACCACCUGUACACCAGUCCGAAGACGCACCCAUCUCUGAGUGAUUCCGGUGUAUGUCAAGCCUUGGUAAGGUUCUUCGCGUUGCAUCGAAUUAAUCCGCAUGCUCCGCCGCUUGUGCGGGCCCCCGUCAAUUCCUUUGAGUUUUAGCCUUGCGGCCGUACUCCCCAGGCGGGGAACUUAAUGCGUUAGCUGCGGCACGGAUCUCGUGGAAUGAGACCCACACCUAGUUCCCAACGUUUACGGCAUGGACUACCAGG